rnacentral:rRNA from 1 species
UGGGGAAUUUUCCGCAAUGGGGGAAAGCCUGACGGAGCAAUACCGCGUGAGGGAGGAAUGCCUUUGGGUUGUAAACCUCUUUUUUCAGGGAAGAAGAUCUGACGGUACCUGAGGAAUAAGUAUCGGCUAACUCCGUGCCAGCAGCCGCGGUAAUACGGAGGACGCAAGCGUUAUCCGGAAUCAUUGGGCGUAAAGCGUCCGCAGGUGGUUUCCAAAGUCUGCUGUUAAAGACUGGAGCUCAACCCCGGAACGGCGGUGGAAACUUGGAAACUAGAGUUCGGUAGGGGUAGCAGGAAUUCCCAGUGUAGCGGUGAAAUGCGUAGAUAUUGGGAAGAACAUCGGUGGCGAAGGCGUGCUACUGGACCGUAACUGACACUCAGGGACGAAAGCUAGGGGAGCGAAAGGGAUUAGAUACCCCUGUAGUCCUAGCUGUAAACGAUGGAAACUAGGUGUGGCUUGA